AUUGAACGCUGGCGGCAGGCCUAACACAUGCAAGUCGAGCGGAGCGGCGGACGGGUGAGUAAUUCCUAGGUAUCUGCCUGGUAGUGGGGGAUAACGUCAGGAAACGGGCGCUAAUACCGCAUACUAUCAGAUGAGCCUAGGUGGGAUUAGCUAGUUGUUGGGGUAAAGGCCUACCAAGGCGACGAUCCGUAACUGGUCUGAGAGGAUUAUCAGUCAAACUGGAACUGAGAAACGGGACAGACGGCGACGGGAGGCAGCAGUGGGGAAUAUUGGACAAUGGGCGAAAGCCUGAUCCAGCAAUGCCGCGUGUGUGAAGAAGGUCUUCGGAUUGUAAAGCACUUUAAGUUGGGAGGCGUUACCAACAGAAUAAGCACCGGCUAACUUCGUGCCAGUCGCCGCGGUAAUUC
rnacentral:rRNA from 1 species